UACGUAGGGGGCUAGCGUUGUCCGGAAUCAUUGGGCGUAAAGAGCGUGUAGGCGGCCCGGUAAGUCCGCUGUGAAAGUCGGGGGCUCAACCCUCGAAUGCCGGUGGAUACUGUCGGGCUAGAGUGCGGAAGAGGCGAGUGGAAUUCCUGGUGUAGCGGUGAAAUGCGCAGAUAUCAGGAGGAACACCAAUGGCGAAGGCAGCUCGCUGGAACGGUACUGACGCUGAGGCGCGAAAGCGUGGGGAGCAAACAGG
rnacentral:rRNA from 1 species